rnacentral:rRNA from 1 species
AACGACCGCUGGCGGCAUGCCUAACACAUGCAAGUCGAACGAGACCUUCGGGUCUAGUGGCGCACGGGUGCGUAACGCGUGGGAACCUGCCCUUAGGUUCGGAAUAACUCCCCGAAAGGGGUGCUAAUACCGGCUAAUGUCUUCGGACCAAAGAUUUAUCGCCUUUGGAUGGGCCCGCGUUGGAUUAGCUAGUUGGUAGGGUAAAAGCCUACCAAGGCGACGAUCCAUAGCUGGUCUGAGAGGAUGAUCAGCCACACUGGGACUGAGACACGGCCCAGACUCCUACGGGAGGCAGCAGUGGGGAAUAUUGGACAAUGGGCGAAAGCCUGAUCCAGCAAUGCCGCGUGAGUGAUGAAGGCCUUAGGGUUGUAAAGCUCUUUUACCCGGGAUGAUAAUGACAGUACCGGGAGAAUAAGCUCCGGCUAACUCCGUG